CCUGGUGGAGUACUGUUUGUAUUCUGCUCGUCAUUGGUUUCCAUUGAAAAGGCUCAGGUCUGGCCCACGGUCUGGCCAUAUACAACCUCCACCACCUGGAUGCACCGAAGACCGUGCAUGGCCAGUCUUUUUUCUGGUUGACAGAGCAUCCACGUCCACGCCAUAGAAGACGCUCUGGACUCCACCAUUUUGUCUUUGCCUCUGCAAUUCGCGUCCACGUGUUUGGGGUGUGGUGCUUUUGAAGGAGCUCUGCAGGAGGGAGUGUAUUUGUUUUUUCUGUUGAGUUCAAAUAUCAACAGUCUUUCUUCAGACUCGAGAAAUCUCCAGAAUCUCUACAGAAUCUCUUCCUUCAAGGAGUAUUUCUGGGUUCUGACUGCACCCUUGGAGGAGCACGGGAAGAAGCCCUGUCAAAUCUACAUCUUUGACGAGCUAGGGUUUCAGCUGGACUUGACACGGAGCAGAGUCAUGCCUCAGGGGACCAAACAUUAAAAAGGUGGAACCAGGGACCACACCUCCAUCCUGGCAUGCUUUAGCAUUUGUAUUGGGGAAUAUUCCCCCUUUCAUCUUCUGUAUGGGGGAAUAUCCCAUAUAACACGGGUUCUAUCCCCAGUUGCCCCGCCCUGGGACCAUCUGUCCCUCUUGCUCCCACUCUCUACAUCACCAAUCCCCUGGCAUCAGGCUGGAUAUUCGCCCCCAACACCAGCAACAUCAGGAGGAACACCACAAAGACCUAGGUACUGACUGCUUAGCAGGUGUCUGAUGUCAUAGAGGAGGCAGAGAACCCUGUCGCAAGGCUCAAGGCCCGAACUCUGGCCAAAAGAGACAGAGAGCAGCACCAACCCAAAGACACCAGCCCAGCAGUCACUUUGUCUACCAUGCCUGGCGCAUCCCAUCCCAGCUGCACAGGAAGCCUGCCCCUUGGGCUGCUCCAGCCACGAGCUCCAAUCUUUCAAAUGCAGGUUAUCCAGCCCGCUUGCCCCCUCUUGUGCCUUCCAUGGUCCCUGGCUGCCUGUCCCCAGUGGUACACCAUCCCUGACAAGCCUGCCUGCUCAGGAAUAUCACCACCUUUCCCCAUCUUCUGUUAGGCAAGUGGAAUGUAAAGCACACCUCCAGUAUUUGUAUAUUUGGAUUGAUUUGAAUAUCAAAAUUUAUCAGCUAUUCUGGGGCUUCUGGUGACCAAAUAGUUAAGGCACAUACCACGUAACUGCAAUAUCCACGGCUCUGCCCUUGCUCCCUGUCUCUCUCCAGUUUUCUCAACUAUCAAAUAAAGGGAAAAUGUCCAAAAUUAAAUGUGAUUAAAAAACAACUGUUCUGAUGCACAGAUAAUGUUAAGAGUAUUGCUGUAAUAAUAAAAUAUUAUUAUUCUUU